rnacentral:lncRNA from 10 species
GGCUUCUUUCACUUAGCACGGUGGCUUCAGGUCCCUCCGCAUUAUCGCAUGUGCCAGUGCUUUGCUCCUUUUUACACCUGAGUAAUCGUCCACUGUGGAGUCAUCCUUUCAGCUGCUGAGAGAUGCGUGGGCAGUUUCCACCUGCAGCCAUCAAUUCACAAAUCCUACAAUUCUAAGCUCUCAGAACCCUUGGAUCUGAAGGUUCUCAAAUGCUAAGGUUUCUAGAUGUUAGCAGACGAAGGUGUCAAGACGCAUGGGAUCUACGAUGCAGAGUUCUGAGUGGGGAUAUGCGUCCCCCACCCCGACUCACCCCACGACACAUAUCAGUAACAGCCUCUGCAACUCCGCCUUGGUGCCCCCGCACGUUCCAGGGGCAGCCACACUGAUGGAUUGCUCAGAACGGGCUGGAGCCGCAUCUCCACUUCUGCCCCGACAGUUCCUGCUGCAGCAGAUGCCCUUCCAGAUGCAAACUCCUACGCAUCCUUCAAAACCCAGCUAAAUGUCACUUCCUCCGGAAAGCCUUCCCCACCUCUCUAGCAGGCAGUUGAGCCCAGCUUACAUUUCCGACAGGCCCUCACUGCCCGGGAUUGCAGCUGCGGGCUCCUUGAGGGCAGGGAUUGUCCCUCAUUCAUCCUGAUUCCAUGCCAAGGCUUAUAGUAGGUGCUCAAUAAAUGCUUGCUGAAUGAUA